rnacentral:lncRNA from 1 species
UUUGCUCUUCAUUUCAACAUGUCUUUUCCUCUUACUCUUUGUGAUUUUCACUUGAUCCUUUUGAGUUUUGAUUCCAAAGUUCUUAAGAGACAGAGAUCCUAUUGGCUGGUGCAAGACCAUAGCAGUUGUGUGUGUGUGUGUGUGUGAGAGAGAGAGAGAGAGAGAGAGAGAGAGAGAGAGAGAGAGAGAGAGGGAGAGGGAGAGGGAGAGGGAGAGCGCUGAGUCACUGUCUCCCAUUUCUGGCUUUGCUUCUCACAUCCACAACCCAUGUGCUCUACUUCCAUUUUUUCCUCUCAUUCCUGUUCCAAGCACAUCUGAAGGGCCCUCCAGACUAAGACUCCACCAUGAGCACCUUUCACCUUGCACUUCCCCGACCCUGCUUCCCUUGUCCAGGACUACCAACAGGAUGCUGGACCAGGCUGAGCUGGACAGCCAUAGCCAGGUAGCCAGUUGGAUCCCUCUCCAGUGAUAACAAAGGUCUGGAGUCUCAGAGGGCUUUUCCUAGGACAAGACGUACCUCCAGAUCAAGAAAUUAUUUCAGCUGUGGCAUGAUCAACAAGUUCUGGAGCGGAAGGAAACCUUUCUAAACCACAAAUAACAAAAAACAUCUAUCUAUUAUGUCAGAAGACAAAGUUGUCUUUCUAUUCUCUGUACAUAAAAUGGCAUUGUAAAAUUUUUACCAUGUGAAAAAAGAUCAAUGAGUAUAACGCCAAAAAUAUAGGGAAAAGAUGUAUUACAUAGAUGGGUCAGCACUUAAGUUGUAAUUGUAGCAAAAAUUGUUAAUUAAAAC